rnacentral:rRNA from 1 species
CCUACGGGGUGCAGCAGUGGGGAAUAUUGGACAAUGGGCGAAAGCCUGAUCCAGCAAUGCCGCGUGUGUGAAGAAGGUCUUCGGAUUGUAAAGCACUUUCGACGGGGACGAUGAUGACGGUACCCGUAGAAGAAGCCCCGGCUAACUUCGUGCCAGCAGCCGCGGUAAUACGAAGGGGGCUAGCGCUGCUCGGAACGACUGGGCGUAAAGGGCGCGUAGGCGGUUUAUGCAGUCAGAUGUGAAAUCCCCGGGCUUAACCUGGGAACUGCAUUUGAGACGCAUAGACCUGAGGUCGAGAGAGGGUUGUGGAAUUCCCAGUGUAGAGGUGAAUUUCGUAGAUAUUGGGAAGAACACCGGUGGCGAAGGCGGCAACCUGGCUCGAUACUGACGCUGAGGCGCGAAAGCGUGGGGGGCAAAUAGGAUUAGAUACCCGUGUAGUC